GGGGAAUAUUGCACAAUGGGCGAAAGCCUGAUGCAGCAACGCCGCGUGAGUGAAGAAGGUUUUCGGAUUGUAAAGCUCUGUUGCCAGGGAAGAACGUCUUCUGGAGUAACUGCCAGGAGAGUGACGGUACCUGAGAAGAAAGCCCCGGCUAACUACGUGCCAGCAGCCGCGGUAAUACGUAGGGGGCAAGCGUUGUCCGGAAUUAUUGGGCGUAAAGCGCGCGCAGGCGGCUGUUUAAGUCUGGUGGUUAAUCCUGGGGCUCAACCCCGGGUCGCACUGGAAACUGGACGGCUUGAGUGCAGAAGAGGAGAGUGGAAUUCCACGUGUAGCGGUGAAAUGCGUAGAGAUGUGGAGGAACACCAGUGGCGAAGGCGACUCUCUGGGCUGUAACUGACGCUGAGGCGCGAAAGCGUGGGGAGCAAAC
rnacentral:rRNA from 1 species